GAGUGCUACGAGCUAGGAUGCUGCGACUUCGCCGACAGCGAGGUUGUUGCCCUCACCGAGAACAUCGGCAAGCCGCUCGCCGAGGUGCUCAAGGAGCUCGGGAAGAGGGUCCCAGACUCCCUUGUGAAGACCCACGUCGAGGAUGAUGGCUUCACUAUCAACUCAAGAAGAGGGUUCCAGACUCCCUUGUGAAGACCCACGUCGAGGAUGAUGGCUUCACUAUCAAGUACAUUCCUAUAAUUACCCGUACUAGAUUUAGCUCUUGUGAUUUUUGCAUUCUACUACAUUUUACUUGUUGUUCUGCUGCAUUGAAUGAGAGUACUUAUACACCUGUCCAAUCCUAGAAUUACUAGAUCAUGGUCCUCCCUAGAUUCAGCCCAUGCCAGCUUGGCCUAAUUACUCAGGUAUUCUUUUUGUCUUGAUGGUGCUACAUUGCUGCUGUGUAAGCGUUUGUGUGCACUUGGAACGUAUUGAUUAUUACUUAUGACUAAUGAGAUAAACUAAUGUCACUCAAGUUCAGGUUGUAGAUGUAACUGUUUUAUCUAGAUCCAAGUACUUUAUCUAGCAUUCAUGUGGUAGGGAGUGUUUUACAAGCUCAUCAGAUCAUUGUAUUGCAUUCUACUUUGUUGUCUCACUGCUCCUUCUUUUACAGAAACAAAAACCAUGGCCACCGGUUGUAUGGUUUUUGAAGGAUGUGUCUGGAAACUAUUUGCUAUCAAAACAAACCGGAUGUUAGAAAAUUUAACUUGGUAUACUACAUUGUUUGUCAUGCUGCUUUUUAUGUACUCAAACUGUGUAAUGUUAUCAUGUUUCAACUUUCACUGGCCAGUCAUCAAAGAAGUCUGAUGUGUUUGGAUUUAGGGUUCUGUUAGUCAAGUUGAUCACUGGUCAGAAGGCGUUGUAUUUUGAAAGAGUAGCAAAUCAGAAAGGUAGAGUGCUCGACUGGGUAAGCAUGCAUCUUGUGUUUACUUAUCCAAUUUCAGAUUUUCUUUAAAACUUAUAGAUGAAAAUCACCUAUGUUUCCUUUAUUAUAUUUUAUACCUUGUUUUGCUUUGCCCUUCAGUUCAGUCUCUUGAGAGUUCUUUGAGAAUUUCAAGCUUCUGUUAUUGCCAUGACCAUGUUUCCAGGUUAAGAAACUUCAUCAAGAAAAGCAACUAGGCAUGAUGGUGGACAAAGGCCUGGGUAGCAACUAGGACUGGGUUGAGUCAGUACCACCUGUCUCACUGGCCUAGAAUGUUCGAGGUGAUCAGGAUGCUGGAAGGAGACAGACUCAUAGAGAGAUGGGAGGUGUCACAGAACGUGGACACGCUAGAGUUCGUCUCAUCGGAGCUCCUACUUCAAAAGUACAUGGAUUUUGCAGCAGACGAAUGCUCACUUGGUGUAGAAGCCAUGGAGCUCUCUGGACCAAGGUGACCAUCUGAUCGACCAGAUCGACCAUCGCACAGGUCACAUAGGUGUCUUGCCAUAUCAAGCCUAUAUUAUUGUUGUAUUACAUUGGACGCAUAGGGAAGGGAAAAAAUCCGGUGGAUUGUAGGGUGUGAUCCGUCUGUGUAUAGUUGUGGUGGCAUUCAUUUGUGUAAAUGAUCUGUGAUAUAUUGAUGUCGAGAAUAUAUAUUUAUUUUUAUGUAA